UGACACCUCUCCCCUCGUCGCUUCGCUCUCGAUCUCUCUCCCUCUCAGCCCCGCUUUCGAAUUUUGUUUAGGGUUUAUCGGGCGGGUUUAUUUUUGUUUUAGUUUCCAGUUCUAUCUUCGAUUUGAGCUUCCACAAGCGCUACCUUCCUGCCUGCUUCCUGCUCUGUCCUUCUCGAUUCUUCUUGUCGUGAAACCCUAGAUCUUGCCUUGCUCCGUUUGAGUUUCUUUUUUCGUGGGCGAAUGCGACCGGGAUCUUUGAGGAAUACAAUUUGGAAUCUCGGCGGCCGUAAGCGAGCGCAUCAGCUGCUGCGUCAAUUCCCAGUGGCUCCACCUCGGGUGUUGGUUCAAAUGCUACUGAAAUCUAAGGUUUUCGACAGUGUCAUCUUUAGGAAUCCAUUUCUGAAGCCAUUGUUUCUUGCCGUGAAGAUAUGAUCAGUUGAACAUGAGCGAUGGUGGCAGGGAGAGUGAAAGGGAUCAUGAGAUCAGGUCGAAGAAGGAUCAGCCAUCUGCGGGUGACGAGUUUGGUCGUGCUGUAGCCAAGGUUGCCGUAGCUCAGAUUUGUGAGUCGACUGGUUUCCACGGAUGCAAUCUCUCUUCUGUUGAUGCUUUCUCCGAGGUAGUGGUCCGAUACAUCUAUGAUUUAGGCGAAAGUGCGAGGUUUUAUGCUAAUUUAGCUGGGAGGACAGACUGCAAUGUGUCCGACAUCAUCCAGAGCUUAGAGGAUUUGAGUGCGCCAUUGGGUUUUCCUGGCGCAUCCGAUAUACAUCGUUGUUUUGUUGGUUCGGGUGUUACUCGAGAGAUUACCCAGUACGUCAACUCAGUUGAUGAAGUUCCAUUUGCUAAGCCCAUUCCCAAAUUUCCUAUUUCUCGGUUGCCCAAGUCUUCAUCGAGCUUCACUCAUGUUGGUUUGGAGCCAGCGGGAAAACACAUUCCAGAUUGGCUUCCGAGGCUUCCAGAGCCUCAUACCUAUGUUCACACGCCAGUUUGGAACAAAAGGGCCAGUGAUAACAAAGUAGAAAAAAUCAAACAGGCAAAUCAGCGGAGGAAGACCGAGAUGUCAUUGUUAGGGGUACAGCAACGACUUGCUUCCAAUGCUGCAGCUGGGUUUCAACCUAUCAACAGCGAUGAUGCCAGGAAGGAUAAACAAGUGGUUGCUAGUACUAGCAACCCUUUUCUAGCCCCACCUUUAACAUACACUGAGAAGGAAGUAUCUGAAGUUGCUAUUCCACGUGAAAUGGAUGAAGGCAAGAAAUUGUCAGCAGUCGAAACUUUGCCUCCAAUCGCUGAGGCAGUGAAGUCGGACUCUCUUGACUUGGAUUCAUCCGAGAAAAAAUUACUCCUUACAAGCAGGCCUACUGUGCAUUUUAAGAUUGGCACUGAAAAGAAGUCUAUAGCAUCUUCAUUAUCUGCUAUGACUACUAGAAAGGAUACAUGGCCUUUCAGGGAUGAAGAAAAGGAUGACAAGAAGAAGAGAGCAGAAAUGAUACUAAGAGAAGCUAUGGAGAAACCACAUGAUCUUGCUCAGCUUUAAAGUACUUGUAGAUGGAUUUGCUGUGCCAAAAUGUAAACAGAAUUUCCCAGCACAUCACAUCUGGUGGGAAUUUGAACUUUUUUGUUUGAGUGGGUCAAAUUGGUUCAGAAAUAUUAGAUCUUCCAAUUUUGAUGAGCAUGCAUACACAGGAAGAUAGUUCCGCAUUAUCUUUUCUUGCAAAACUGUCAGGUGUUAGUAAUGUAUUGAAAUGAAAAAUCUGCCAAGAAUGGGACGAUGGGAUUUCAUUGUGACAGUGGGCAAGGCUAAUGGCGCCCAAUAGAUUCUGAUGAAAGGGUUGAAGUAAUUUUUCAUGCUCUUGGCUUGAUGCUCCAUAUUAGAUACUAUUUAUAUGAAAUUGUUUUGGAUACAAUUUGAAUUGAAACAUAUCGCUAUGAUUGUUUUAGUAUUUGAUUCAUCUGAAGUUUGAAUUGUAUAUUAGAAAUCAUUGAUUUUGUGUUGCUAACAACUAUACCCACAAUCUUCAGAAUAUAUUGGAUCACUGAAUCCUCAUGUUUUAU